rnacentral:sRNA from 1 species
UCAAAAAAACAGCCUAAUCUUCAUUAUUUGAAGAACGGAGGAACCAAAUUUUGGGGGUUAACUUACAAUUUUGUAAGAGGGAACCUUUCUCCCUAGCCCGUCAGCUAACUCCGUCGGCUUGGAAGGAGAGAGUUU